rnacentral:tRNA from 1 species
GCGGAAGUGGUGGAACUGGCAGACACGCAAGGUUGAGGGCCUUGUGACCCUAACGGGUCAUGGGGGUUCAAAUCCCCCCUUCCGCACCA